rfam:Ovis aries breed Texel chromosome 12, whole genome shotgun sequence.
AUCGCCAUCUUACUGGGCAGCAUUGGAUGGUGUCUGGUCUCUAAUACUGCCUGGUAAUGAUGACGCU